AUUAACAUUCUGGUUGAUCCUGCCAGAGGCUAUUGCUAUCAGGGUUUGACUAAGCCAUGCGAGUCGAGAGGUGAAAGACCUCGGCAUACUGCUCAGUAACACGUGGAUAAUCUGCCCUCAGGUGAGGAAUAAUCCCGGGAAACUGGGGCUAAUCCCUCAUAGGAGACGGGUGCUG
rnacentral:rRNA from 1 species